GCGGGGCGGCAGCUACACAUGCAAGUCGAGCGAGAUCUUCGGAUCUAGCGGCGGACGGGUGAGUAACGCGUGGGAACGUACCCUCUUCUGCGGGAUAGCCACUGGAAACGGUGAGUAAUACCGCAUACGCCCUUCGGGGGAAAGAUUUAUCGGAGGAGGAUCGGCCCGCGUUGGAUUAGGUAGUUGGUGGGGUAAUGGCCUACCAAGCCUACGAUCCAUAGCUGGUUUUAGAGGAUGAUCAGCCACACUGGGACUGAGACACGGCCCAGACUCCUACGGGAGGCAGCAGUGGGGAAUCUUAGACAAUGGGCGCAAGCCUGAUCUAGCCAUGCCGCGUGAGUGACGAAGGCCUUAGGGUCGUAAAGCUCUUUCGCCUGUGAUGAUAAUGACAGUAGCAGGUAAAGAAACCCCGGCUAACUCCGUGCCAGCAGCCGCGGUAAUACGGAGGGGGUUAGCGUUGUUCGGAAUUACUGGGCGUAAAGCGCACGUAGGCGGAUUGGAAAGUAUGGGGUGAAAUCCCAGGGCUCAACCCUGGAACGGCCUCAUAAACUUCCAGUCUGGAGUUCGAGAGAGGUGAGUGGAAUUCCGAGUGUAGAGGUGAAAUUCGUAGAUAUUCGGAGGAACACCAGUGGCGAAGGCGGCUCACUGGCUCGAUACUGACGCUGAGGUGCGAAAGUGUGGGGAGCAAACAGGAUUAGAUACCCU
rnacentral:rRNA from 1 species